rnacentral:lncRNA from 1 species
CUGGCUUUCUGAAUAAUGAAUUGAACUUUAAUAUUUAUUAAAUACAAAAUAGUAAUAAAUUACAAUUGCACAAUUUCUUACAGUUUUUAUUAAGAUCAAAACUUAUUUGUUCAGACUAGAUUUAUAUAAAUAAAUGACAGUACCUUUUUUACUUGUGUUCAGAAGAUUGUAAUACAUAUUACAAAAUUAAGAAUUGUUUUAUCCCUCAAACCAUCACUGCGAAAAGAAUCAUGCAUUAUUUCUACUAAACAAACAAAAUGCCCACCUAAUUGAGAGAGCCUUGAUACAAGUAUGGCCCUACUCUCCAAAAUUAGACAUGAAACAUAGAGAUACCAGGACUAUUUAUUGAACAAGAAAUAAUAGAGUAUAGUACAAUGUUGAUGUGCUACCAAAACCAAAAGUAUACCAAAACAACACAGCUCUCUUCACGCGCCUUUGCGACGGGUAUCGAGGAUGGCAGCUGGCCGGCAUGCAACCAAGUAAAACACUCAGUUUUACAACGUCUAUGUUCGAGCACAAAGGAGGAGGAACUAAAGAGCCCAGACAAAACAAAGGAACAAAUGAAGAGCCCAGAUGUUUGCAAGUCCUCCCGUCACCUCCCCUGCCGUGCCGCACGCGCUGCCUUUGCUCCGCGCUCCUUUCCUGGGCAGCGCCGCCACCGCCCUUUGUGCACCUCCGAGGAGAUGGAUGUGCUCCCAGAGAACUGCAGGGCCCUGGAGAACUUCCAGCUGUGGUUCCUUGCCCAACCCACUGUGUUACAAAAGAACUGUAAGCACAACUCUUGGAACUAGCAGCUGGCACCUGGCACAGCUCGGCUCGAGUGCUGCUGUCACCAAAUCUGCCCUGCUGCCCUUUCCUACAGCACAGGGUGCUUCUAUUAAAUUCUACAGUAUUGUGGAUUGCUUUCUCUACAUAAUUUUUUUCCUACUAGAUAAGAAAUCCAUUGUUUUCUCCCUUGUUACUGAGAUGCAAUCGUUUGGCAGUGCACUGUUCUAAGGGGAAAAAAGCAUUUCAUCAUUGACACUUCAGAUGGAGUCACCUGAUCCACUUUUUCCACUUCCCUUUGUUCAAAUGAAAUAUAUAAACAGCAAAGUAAUUUCAGAUGGAUUUCUAGCUGGGUAAAACAGAUUUUCCAACUGAAUUUCCUGGUCCCCAUUUAUUGUUUGUUGCUUUUAAAUCAGAAGAGUUUUUCAGUUAUUUUUUAUUUCAGUUGCAGACAUGUCCCCUCAGUGCUUGAGUGUUGCUAGGUGAUAAGCAUGUAAAUCAAUAUAUCUCUUGUGUCUCUGGCUUUGGGUGCUCCUGUUAAUAUAGCUACAUACACAUGCUUGGUGUUCAAAGCACAUGAAUGGAACCAAACUAAACCAAACCAAACCAAAGAAUAAAAACAACCUAAAAGCCCCCUCA